rnacentral:rRNA from 1 species
AAUGAACGCUGGCGGCAGGCCUAACACAUGCAAGUCGAGCGGACCCUUCGGGGUUAGCGGCGGACGGGUGAGUAACGCGUGGGAAUAUGCCCUUCUCUACGGAAUAGUCCUGGGAAACUGGGGGUAAUACCGUAUACGCCCUUUGGGGGCAAGAUUUAUCGGGGUAGGAUUAGCCCGCGUUGGAUUAGGUUGUUGGUGGGGUAAUGGCCUACCACGCCGACGAUCCAUAGCUGGUUUGAGAGACAGGUCAGCCACACUGAGACUGAGACGCGGCCCAGAAUCUUACGCGAUGGAGCAAAGGGGGAUCUUGGAAAAUGGGGGCAACGCUGAUGGAGCCCUGCCGGGUGAGUGCUGAAGGCCUUAAAGAAGUAAAGCUCUUUCAGCUGGGAAGGUAAUGACGGUACCAGCAGAAGAAGCCCCGGCUAACUCCGUG